rnacentral:rRNA from 1 species
GAUGAACGCUGGCGGCAUGCCUAAUACAUGCAAGUCGAACGAGUGAAAGGAACGCUUGCUUUUCUGACUCUAGUGGCGAACGGGUGAGUAACACGUAGGUUACCUGCGCAUGUGCCCGGGAUAACUUCUGGAAACGGAUGCAAAAACCGGAUAGGUAGCAGACAAGCAUUUGACUGCUAUUAAAGUGGCUAAGGCCAUGAAUGUGGAAGCCCCUGCGGUCCAUUAGCUAGUUGGUGAGGUAACGGCACACCAAGGCGGCGAUGCAUAGCCGGCCUGAGAGGGCGAACGGCCACAGUGGGACUGAGACACGGCCCAAACUCCUACGGGAGGCAGCAGUAGGGAAUUUUCGUCAAUGGGGGGAACCCUGAACGAGCAAUGCCGCGUGAGUGAGGAAGGUCUUCGGAUCGUAAAGCUCUGUUGUAAGAGGAAAACGACAUUCAUAGGGAAUGAUGAGUGAGUGAUGGUAUCUUACCAGAAAGUCACGGCUAACUACGUGCCAGCAGCCGCGGUAA